rnacentral:rRNA from 1 species
UACGUAGGGUGCAAGCGUUGUCCGGAAUUAUUGGGCGUAAAGAGCUCGUAGGCGGUUCGUCGCGUCGGCUGUGAAAACCCGGAGCUCAACUCCGGGCCUGCAGUCGAUACGGGCGGACUUGAGUGUUGCAGGGGAGACUGGAAUUCCUGGUGUAGCGGUGAAAUGCGCAGAUAUCAGGAAGAACACCCGUGGCGAAGGCGGGUUGCUGGGCCGACACUGACGCUGAGGCGCGAAAGCCAGGGGAGCGAACGGGG